AUUAUAGAAUAAUAUAAUUAAAACUCUUUUACAAUUAAAACAUUAUUAAACUAAGUAAAGGAGAUUAAAAAUUAUUUCAUAUUUCUAAUUAAAGUACUGUGAAGGAAUAAUUUUAAUUAUAUAAAAGAAAAAAUUAAUUUUUGUACCUUUUGUAUCAUGGUUUAGCUAGAUUUUUAGUUGAAUAUACAAUUUCUCGAAAUUUAAUGAGCUAUUUUUAACCCUUAUAUUAGUAACUAGAGACUAAUUGUGGCAGAAAUUUUCUCAGAGUUAAAAAUAGAAAUGAAAUUUUAUUCGCAUUAAAUGAUAGCUAGUUCUUUUAAAAAAACAUAGAAGUGUUAAGAAUUAAAUUGUUUUUAAUAAAAAAAGAAUUAAAAAUAUUUAAUUUAGUAAAAUUUUUGAGGAUAAGCUCAAAAAUGUUUAUAAUCUUUGUAUAAAUUAAUUUCUAAAUUUAAGCUUGAAAAUAGCUAAAACCAAUAGACUUUGUUAUAAUUUCAUUAAUUUUAAAGAAAUAUAAUUAAUCUACUAAGUAAUUUGAUAAAAGAAAUUUCUGGAACCGCCUCAUGACUUAUAUACAUGCUAAGAUGAGUAUUUUUAACAUAUGGAUUUAUUAAAAACAUAUAAUUUUAAGAUUUAUUUUUAUUUAUUCAAAAAAAAUUAUAAAAAGGAACUCGGCAAAUAAAAUAUUCUGCCUGUUUAUUAAAAACAUGGCUCCUUGUAAUAACACUAGAUAGGGAGUCGGACCUGCCCAGUGAAUUUCUUUUUAACGGCCGCGGUACUCUGACCGUGCAAAGGUAGCAUAAUCAUUUGCCUUAUAAUUGAAGGCUAGUAUGAAUGGUUUGACAAGAAUAUAGCUGUCUCUUUAUAAUUUUAUAGAAUUUUAUUUUAAAGUGAAGAAGCUUUAAUCUCAUUAAAAGACAAGAAGACCCUAUCGAGCUUAAAAAAAAUCUAUAGAAAUUAAUUAAUAAUUGAUCUUAAAAAAUUAACUAUUGAAUAUUUUGGUUGGGGCGACUGAGGAACCAAUAAAGCUUCCUUUCAUAGUAACAACAUUCGUGUAUUGAUCCAAAAUUUUUGAUUAAAGAACAUAGUUACCGUAGGGAUAACAGCAUUAUCUUUUUUAAGAGCUCUUAUCGAAAAAAAGGUUUGUGACCUCGAUGUUGGACCAGAAUAUCCUAAAGAUGCAGACGUCUUUAAGGGUUGGUCUGUUCGACCAUUAAAAUUCUACGUGAUCUGAGUUUAGACCGGCGCGAGCCAGGUCAGUUUCUAUCUUUAAUUUAUCAAAUAAAUUCAGUACGAAAGGACCAGUUUAUUAUAAAAACUUGUAUUAUAAAAUGAAAAAAUAUAAUAGAAAUUUUAUAGAAUUAAUGCU
rnacentral:rRNA from 1 species